ensembl:lncRNA
CGAGCACAUCGGAAAAGUGCAUCUCUAGCCUACAGCAUCGCCAAAUCCAUCCGAUCACUACAAUCACAACAGUGCCGCGUUUCACCGAGAGGACACACAUAACCGGCGACGUCGUGGACCGAAAUCGGAGACCUGGCUCCUUAAAAGCUCUUCGUAUGAUCCGGACUGCUGUGCCCCAUUCACUGGGCUUUCUUUUAGGUGAUCGGGAAAUAUUCGGUACGUUUUCUUCAAACUUCAGCCGACAAAGACUGCACACAAGCCGGAGCGCGGUUGGGCGCGGGGAAGCAUGGAAUAGACAGAAGUGAACGGUUAAGAGAACCCCUGCUUCCUUGUCUAGUUUAAAGACGCAGUAAUCAGCAGCUCGGUCGGGUCAGAAAUCUUCAAGCAAGACUCGUGUGGACGGAUAAGGACCGCAAGAUGUCCAUUCCGAGAGCAUACUCUGCUCUGAUUGGUCAGAUGUCCCAGUCUGUUGUGAUUGGUCCACCGCUGUUAGCGAGCAGCCGAUGAAGACCAGAGGUGGGGUUUUUUGUUACAAACCUACGUAGGUUAGUACAGGAAGUAAGUCUGGAAUUACUAACGACUCGUUUCAGCUGUUCAGAAUCGCUUCCUUCUUUUAGGAGUCAAUAACUCUGUUUGUCGUGCACUUUGAUUUUAAAUUACAAGAAUUAAUAUAACAAUGCCAAUUUUCUGGCCCAUACUUUAGACUAUGACAUAAUUGUUCUCAAACUCUUAACAUGCCUCUGGCUCCCUUGUAAUAAAUGUAUUCACAUAUUAGCGCACACAACCGUAUCCUGAGUGUUUGGUAAGUGCUGACUCUCGUCUUUUCCCUUCUAUUUGACACAGCAUGUGUGUAUCUCAUUAGGCAGUGUCAGUGAGAGAGCAUCUACUCUGCCAAGCCUGAUCUGCUCACGCCUCAGCUACCGACACUCAGCAGCGAGGCCAGCGCAGCCUCUGAGCGGUUUCCAUAGCUGACUGCAGCAAACGCAUAAAAAAAACAUUAAUCCUCUUCAACUGCUUUUUUUAUACUUGGGGCUGUAUUUCAUUCUAGUCAGCAGCGUAUAGAGGUUUUUAUGAUCUGCCAUAACGUACCCGUAAAGGGAGGAAACGACAGAUUACUGUAAAUUCGGGACCUGUGAAGAAUGCCACGGAUUUGGAAAGGAUGCCCUUUAAAAGCGCAGACGUCAGGGUGGAGAAGGCACAAAGUAAAGCAUGGAUUUUAUGCAUCUCACAGCAUAUGGGGAAAUCCGUUUCGUGUUUCAGCCAUUGCAGCAGUAUUCAGGCAGCCUUUAGAGGUUUUUUUUUUUGGUCUUGAUCAGGGAAGAGUUUUGUGGUGACUAAUGAUUGAAAUGGCCUCCAAUUUGAGUUUUGGAGAUUAGUCAUGAAUCAGAACAAAUUGCCUCAAACACUGCAUGUGAGUGGACGACCAGAUGGAUUCCCAAAGAUCAGCUACCAGAUACUUGUUAUAAGCAUGUCUAUGUCACAAAGUAUUUAGGAGAUCACAGACGGUAUUGGUUUGCGCUGUAAAGUGAUGGGUGUCAGGGUUUAAGAUGUGUUUCUCCAGUAUGGUUAGCAGUACAGAUGGCUUUUAGCAUCGGUACUCCACCACUGAAACACUGAAAUUAUAGGCUUCAGGUGAAAGCACUACUGUUUUUUUUUUUGUUUUUUUUUUAAACUGAGUCUGUAAUUUAGGGAGCAUGAGUAGGCCUUAUUGUUCACUUCUAUAGUGUCAUGGAUGAAUAGCUGUGCAUGUGAGAAACAAAGAGGGUCAAUAUAGACACUUGUAAAUCAUCCCUUAAGAGAGUUUCCCUUUGAUUCUUCUACCCCCCUGAGAAUUUAUGUUUGCUGGUUGUAUAGUUGAGCUCCAUCAAUGAGGCACUCAAGUACCAUAAAUCUUACCUGUUCUCAGGCUUUAGGAUAUGCAUUUUACCUUGAAAUAGAAGUUCUGACUUGGGAACAGAUACACUGCAUUUUCUUAUUGGUCACUUGUGGUGGUGCAAGUGGCCACUUUGAAGGUGGACCCAGAACUCAGGAUGACAGCCCCUGAGGGUCAGUGACUUCCUAAAGGAUUAUGACUGGUUUACAUCACUCUUUAGGCUGAAAGGUUUUGAAUAAACCAGUAGAACCCAACAGGAAGUUGUAGGUCAAAUGUAAGAGCAUGAAAUAGGUCAAACAACAUGUUGUGUCAUGUCAUUGUGACAAAGAAAGUAUUCCUAUUGAGGUGCUUUGUAUGUCAUAUGUAUGUUACAGAAGGUGUGGAUUUUAGAGGCAAAUGCCAGUUUGAUCUGUUUAAGCAGAGUAAAAUGGUGAGCUAUCAGUCUUGGCCCAUAUCCUUUGCCCUGCUUGCCUAGUGUGUAAUCUGUUUGGCUCCCAUCUCUGUAGCAGGCAAAGAGAAUUGGUUUUGAACCAAGAGGGCAAGCAAUUUACUCCUCAUUCACAGACCAUUCUCCACCUUAUGAGAAAAAAAGAAGAUAGCAGAGUGGGGGUUGGAAAAGGGUGGG